UCCUUUUAUGGUCAAGUAGGUUCUGCUGCGGAAGGGAUUAUGCAGUUGGCGAUGGCGACUUUGGUGCCGUUAAGCUGGAAAUCUUAUGGUUAGAAGGAAAACACAUUGCUGGUCUCUUCUCCCAGCGUUAGUUCUUCUCCUUUCUUAUCGAAGUCUCUCCCUUUCCCUCAGUUUUCUGAUAAACAAAUCGGGAACAACCGUUGGGAAGGUGGAAAUAGUGAGUGCAGUAACGGACUCGACUCCUUGGCCUUAAUCGAAGACCUGCAUUAGUUUUAAGGCGUCCAUUGUUCGAGAAGAUGUUUCUGGAAGUCGAGUGUGCGUCGCGGCUGUUCUCCACUACCUCCUUGACGGCAGAUAUUGGUCGUCGGAUCAUUUCUCCGGUCUCAGAUCGGUGACCAUGGACUGGUAACUGGGUGGAUUUUGGAAUUUUUUUUCUUCGAAGAGCUCCAUGGGGGAAGAGGCUCAGCGUCACCAUCCACGUAGGGGAGGCUGUUUUUGCUUGUCGUCCGAGUGUUCGCAUUGGGGAUAUCCUUUGCUUUCAUUCUUGCUUCUGUUCUCUUCUGUUUGCCUGCCUAACGUUCUGAUACUCUCGCCGGAGCUUUGGUAAUUGGUGGAAUUCGUAUGAAGCCAUAGACGAUGUUUGUUAAAAUGCCCAGAUGACCUCAAAUUUAUGGAGAUUUCCAUUAACAAGCUUACAUUUGGAGCAGAACAUUUAGGGAGAACACUCAGAAGUUUUAUUCCGAAUAGCCAAAGGAGAGAAUUCUCUUUGAAAGUUGAAGGAAGGGCAAUCACGAAAGACAUGGGAAGCAAGAUUACAGGGUGUGCAGGACGAGGAAGCAAUUGAGCAGAAGCUAUGUGAAGAUCGCUUGAUCCAAUCGAUGUAUAUCUCUGCUUCAUGGGUGGUAGCUAGGUAGUCACAUACUGCUUCAAUCAAACCGGCAACGCUGCCGAGCUCAUCAAAUCAAAGCUGAACGCUUAGAUGCCGCUUCAACCAAAAAGCUACUGCUAGUUGGCUUGAAGACUUCGACAAUGAGUUAAUUAGAAAGCUUUGAUUCUGGCCGCAAUUUCUCCUUCAUGGAAGUGUAAGGACAAGAAGAAAGCCAUGUUCAGUUCAGGUUGUAAUCCACGUACCUUUUUUCCCCUGAUAAGGGAUAAGCUUCGCACCAGCAGGCUCUCGGUCUCUUGAAGUUCCUCAGAAGUACACGAACUUAAACCAUGUCCCAAAAGCUUCCUAUGACAAGCAAUUUUGAAAGUGUUGAAAUUCCAGAUCAGACUGAGACUAACAUUCCAAGUAACAAAUGCAGCAGGGAGCAGCUUCAAAGCAGGAGAAUAACCUUUGAGAAGCAUCAAGAAGCUCAAUCUGCUUUGCCAUGCUUGCACUGCCACGCUCCAAUUGCUGCAUAUGGGAACUUUUUGUCACAAUAGGACAAAGCAAGUAACUGAUUUGUGUUGUUCAUGGGAUUGAGUAGUCAUAAGCUGUGAGUUAAACUUGACAUCAAGCUCAAGCAUCCAAAUUGCAA